rnacentral:rRNA from 1 species
UGAGAAACCCGAAAGAUCGAAUGGGGAGAUUCAUCGUCUGUGGUGUUGGCUUCCAUGCGGCAGUGAUGUGACGGUUUCGGCCGUUGUCACGCUGUCGCUGUGGUAUGUCUGGCUCCGUCGGCGUGCACUUCUCCCCUAGUAGAACGUUGCGACCCGCUGGGUGUCGAUUUAAGGGCCAAGCAGAAGCCUGUGUCGUGACUUGUCGCGUCGCAGACGUUUGGUUCCCGACCGACUGCUCGGCGGUACUCUAUGGUAUCGAGCCGCAAUCGAAUGCGUUCAGACUCGCCGCAAGCCCGAUCAUUAUUUUCGAAUCCUGGAUUACGGACCUGGUGCCGUACCUGGGGAUGGUCAGCUGUUGGUGCGCGAUGUUCUCGAACAGGCUAAACUCGAAUCAAACGAUACCUGUCAGCGACGCUAUUGCUUUGGGUACUUUCAGGACCCGUCUUGAAACACGGACCAAGGAGUCUAACAUGUGCGCGAGUCAUUGGGAAUAGCAAACCUAAAGGCGCAUUGAAAGAGAAGAUCGACCUAGCGUCGAUUGAGGGAGGAUGGGUCGCGUCGACGCGCGGCCCCGCACUCCCGGGGCGUUUCGUUGUCAUUGCGACAUGAGGCGAACCCAGAGCGUACACGUUGGGACCCGAAAGAUGGUGAACUAUGCCUGGUCAGGACGAAGUCAGGGGAAACCCUGAUGGAGGUCCGUAGCGAUUCUGACGUGCAAAUCGAUCGUCGGAACUGGGU